rnacentral:rRNA from 1 species
UAGAGGAAGUAAAAGUCGUAACAAGGUUUCCGUAGGUGAACCUGCGGAAGGAUCAUUAUUGAAAUAAACCUGAUGAGUUGUUGCUGGUUCUCUAGGGAGCAUGUGCACACUUGUCAUCUUUAUAUCUCCACCUGUGCACCUUUUGUAGACCUGGAUAUCUCUCUGAGUGCUAGCCACUCAGGUUUGAGGAUUGACUUUAUGUCUCUCCUUACAUUUCCAGGCCUAUGUUUCUUUAUAUACCCAAUGUAUGUCAUAGAAUGUAAUCAAUGGGCCUUUGUGCCUAUAAACCUAUACAACUUUCAGCAACGGAUCUCUUGGCUCUCGCAUCGAUGAAGAACGCAGCGAAAUGCGAUAAGUAAUGUGAAUUGCAGAAUUCAGUGAAUCAUCGAAUCUUUGAACGCACCUUGCGCUCCUUGGUAUUCCGAGGAGCAUGCCUGUUUGAGUGUCAUUAAUAUAUCAACCUCUUCAACUUUUGUUUGUCGGGUGUUGGAUUUGGGGGUCUUUUUUUGCUGGUCUUCUAAAGGUCGGCUCCCCUUAAAUGCAUUAGCAGAACAAUUUGUGAACCGUUCAUUGGUGUGAUAACUAUCUACACUAUUGACGUGAAACAGUUCAGCUUCUAACAGUCCAUUGACUUGGACAACUUUUCAUUAAUGUGACCUCAAAUCAGGUAGGACUACCCGCUGAACUUAAGCAUAUCAAUAA